UACGAAGGGUGCAAGCGUUACUCGGAAUUACUGGGCGUAAAGCGUGCGUAGGUGGUUUUGUUAAGUCUGAUGUGAAAGCCCUGGGCUCAACCUGGGAAUUGCAUUGGAUACUGGCAGGCUAGAGUGCGGUAGAGGAUGGCGGAAUUCCCGGUGUAGCAGUGAAAUGCGUAGAUAUCGGAAGGAACAUCAGUGGCGAAAAGCGGCUUCCUGGUCCAGCACCCGACGUUCAGGCACGAAAGCGUGGGGAGCAAACAGG
rnacentral:rRNA from 1 species